rnacentral:rRNA from 1 species
UACGUAGGGACCAAGCGUUGUUCGGAUUUACUGGGCGUAAAGGGCGCGUAGGCGGCAUAUUAAGUCAGCUGUGAAAUCUCCGAGCUUAACUCGGAACUGUCAGCUGAUACUGAUGUGCUAGAGUGCAGAAGGGGCAAUCGGAAUUCUUGGUGUAGCGGUGAAAUGCGUAGAUAUCAGGAGGAACACCGGUGGCGAAGGCGGAUCUCUGGGCCAUUACUGACGCUGAGGAGCGAAAGCGUGGGGAGCGAACAGG